rnacentral:rRNA from 1 species
CGGGAGGCAGCAGUAGGGAAUAUUGCGAGCAAUGGACGCAAGUCUGACCCAGCACAUGCCGCGUGCAGGAUGAAGGCGUUAUGCGUUGUAAACUGCUUUUAUCACAGGAAAGAAACGACUCUUGCGAGAGGCAUUGAACGGUGACUGUAUGAAUAAGCACCGGCUAACUCCGUGCCAGCAGCCGCGGUAAUA